CAGUCGCCGCGGGAAUACGAAGGGUGCAAGCGUUACUCGGAAUUACUGGGCGUAAAGCGUGUGUAGGUGGUUGUUUAAGUCUGUCGUGAAAGCCCUGGGCUCAACCUGGGAAUUGCGAUGGAUACUGGGCGACUAGAGUGCGGUAGAGGAUAGUGGAACUUCCGGUGUAGCAGUGAAAUGCGUAGAGAUCGGAAGGAACAUCUGUGGCGAAGGCGACUAUCUGGGCCAACACUGACACUGAGACACGAAAGCGUGGGGAGCAAACAGGAUUAGAUACCCCUGUAGUCCCUGUCUCUUAUAC
rnacentral:rRNA from 1 species